rnacentral:rRNA from 1 species
UUGUGCCAGCAGCCGCGGUAAUACGAAGGGGGCUAGCGUUGCUCGGAAUCACUGGGCGUAAAGGGCGCGUAGGCGGCUUGCCAAGUCGGGGGUGAAAGCCCGUGGCUCAACCACGGAAUGGCCUUCGAUACUGGCAGGCUUGAGACCGGAAGAGGACAGCGGAACUGCGAGUGUAGAGGUGAAAUUCGUAGAUAUUCGCAAGAACACCAGUGGCGAAGGCGGCUGUCUGGUCCGGUUCUGACGCUGAGGCGCGAAAGCGUGGGGAGCAAACAGGAUUA